UUCGCAAUGGCCUACGGCUCUCCCCUCGCCUUCUUUUUCUCCUCCUACGCCCUGCUAGUCGCCUCCAUCCCCGGCCUCGUCCCCGUCGGGGUAGCCGAGCCCAGCUUCUACGAUCCCAACCGAGUCACCCAGCCCUCUUGGCGUCCCAAGUGCAGCUAUUUUUUCUACGAUACAUAGUCACAGAUUUUUUCUUGCCUUUCCUGGAGCUCAAGUGGAGCUGGGUUCGCGCAGGAUCUUCCUGUACAAGGGAUUUCUUUCCGACGAGGAAUGUGAUCACAUCAUUAAGCUGGUAGGGAGAUCUUCCUGUCGAGGUUCCUGUUUGUGUAUGGCUGUCUGCUUCCUUUGUUGGUGUUGAGUGCAAGCAGGCGAGGAACAAGACGACGAGAUCGAUUGUGGCGAACAACGAGUCCGGGAAGAGCCUGACGAGCAACGUGCGGACGAGCUCCAGCAUGUUCCUACGGAAGCAUCGGAGGGAGUCAGCACGGCUUGAUUCAACCUCAGGUGUGCAGGAUCGUCCACGUCAGCGCUCGGGUGGCGGGGAUCGUCGUUCGAUGAGGUCGCGCUCCGGCUUUGGCUUCAAGGGCUGCUGAACCUUGCGCCGAAUUCCGCAGAAGCAAAGUUGUUCGAGCAAUUUGGGAAGGAUAUCAUAGCGAAUGCUGCAAGUGCUGGUGUUGGUGCUGGCAACUCAACCGGAAAUGCUAGCCCUAAAGAAAAUAAAAAUGGUGGAAGGGACAAGACCUUAUGAAAUGCAAGUGAUGGUGAAAGCAACAAAAGCUGGUGUAGAUUGAGCACUGGAGGUGGGUUUGGGGUUUGGAGAUUACCUCUUUCUUAUUCUCGAUUCUCUCAUGUUAAUGCUGGUCAACUAAAACACUAUGAUUAAACUCGCCUUUUGUCGUAGAAUUGUGCUCCAUUCAUCCUUUACUUGCUGCAAUGUCAGUUACAAUUUCCAUGGAUAUUCUUAGAUUUACUAUGUGAAAGGGAUCAAAUAUACCUUGUUAAUU